rnacentral:rRNA from 1 species
AGGACGAACGCUGGCGGCGUGCUUAACACAUGCAAGUCGAACGGUAAGGCCCUUCGGGGUACACGAGUGGCGAACGGGUGAGUAACACGUGGGUGAUCUGCCCUGCACUUCGGGAUAAGCUUGGGAAACUGGGUCUAAUACCGGAUAUGACUACGAAUCGCAUGGUUUGUGGUGGAAAGCUUUUGCGGUGUGGGAUGGGCCCGCGGCCUAUCAGCUUGUUGGUGGGGUGAUGGCCUACCAAGGCGACGACGGGUAGCCGGCCUGAGAGGGUGUCCGGCCACACUGGGACUGAGAUACGGCCCAGACUCCUACGGGAGGCAGCAGUGGGGAAUAUUGCACAAUGGGCGCAAGCCUGAUGCAGCGACGCCGCGUGAGGGAUGACGGCCUUCGGGUUGUAACCUCUUUCAGUAUCGACGAAGCGCAGUGACGGUAGGUACAGAAGAAGGACCGGCCAACUACGUGCCAGCAGCCGCGGUAA